AGUGAACGCUGGCGGUAGGCCUAACACAUGCAAGUCGAACGGCAGCACAGUAAGAGCUUGCUCUUACGGGUGGCGAGUGGCGGACGGGUGAGGAAUACAUCGGAAUCUACUUUUUCGUGGGGGAUAACGUAGGGAAACUUACUCUAAUACCGCAUACGACCUACGGGUGAAAGCAGGGGAUCUUCGGACCUUGCGCGAUUGAAUGAGCCGAUGUCGGAUUAGCUAGUUGGCGGGGUAAAGGCCCACCAAGGCGACGAUCCGUAGCUGGUCUGAGAGGAUGAUCGGCCACACUGGAACUGAGACACGGUCCAGACUCCUACGGGAGGCAGCAGUGGGGAAUGUUGGGCAAUGGGCGCAAGCCUGAUCCAGCCAUACCGCGUGGGUGAAGAAGGCCUUCGGGUUGUAAAGCCCUUUUGUUGGGAAAGAAAAGCAGCAGGUUGAUACCCCGCUGUUCUGACGGUACCCAAAGAAUAAGCACCGGCUAACUUCGUG
rnacentral:rRNA from 1 species